UACGAAGGGGGCUAGCGUUGUUCGGAAUUACUGGGCGUAAAGCGCGCGUAGGCGGACUGACAAGUCGGGGGUGAAAUCCCGAGGCUCAACCUCGGAACUGCCUUCGAUACUGUCAGUCUUGAGGUCGGGAGAGGUGAGUGGAACUCCGAGUGUAGAGGUGAAAUUCGUAGAUAUUCGGAAGAACACCAGUGGCGAAGGCGACUUACUGGACACAUAUUGACGCUGAGGUGCGAAAGCGUGGGGAGCAAACAGG
rnacentral:rRNA from 1 species